GCCUGCAUGAAGUUGGAAUCGCUAGUAAUCGCGGAUCAGCAUGCCGCGGUGAAUACGUUCCCGGGCCUUGUACACACCGCCCGUCACACCAUGAGAGUCGGGAGUGCCUGAAGUGCGUGAGCGCGAGCAGCGCCCUAGGGCAAAACCGAUGACUGGGGCUAAGUCGUAACAAGGUAGC
rnacentral:rRNA from 1 species